rnacentral:rRNA from 1 species
UUCUAUUAGAAAUAAUUAAUAGUAAAGCCUGCUCAAUGUAAAAUAAAUAGCCGCAAAACUGUGCUAAGGUAGCAUAAUAAUUUGUCUUUUAAUUGAAGUCUAGAACAAAUGACUUAACAUUUUAAUUAAUUUCUUAAAUAUAUAAAUUAAAUCUAUUCUAAAUGUAAAAAAACAUUUAUUAAAAAGAUAGACGACAAGACCCUAUUGAACUUUACUAUAGUUGAACUGGGGCAGUUAAUUAAUUAAAAUUUUAAUUUAUCAUUUACAAAAAUCCAAUAUAAUUGAAAAAUAAUCAAGUUACCAUAGGGAUAACAGCGCAAUAUUUUUCUAAAGAUCUUAUAUAAAUACAAACCUUGCGACCUCGAUGUUGAAUAAUAACCUAUUUAAAGCAAAAAUUAAAUAAAGGAAGUCUGUUCGACUUUUAAAAAAUUACA